GGUAGGAAUACCCGCUGAACUUAAGCAUAUCAAUAAGCGGAGGAAAAGAAACCAACAGGGAUUGCCCCAGUAACGGCGAGUGAAGCGGCAACAGCUCAAAUUUGAAAUCUGGCCCUCGGGUCCGAGUUGUAAUUUGUAGAGGAUGCUUUUGGCGCGGUGCCUUCCGAGUUCCCUGGAACGGGACGCCUUAGAGGGUGAGAGCCCCGUACGGUUGGACACCAAGCCUCUGUAAAGCUCCUUCGACGAGUCGAGUAGUUUGGGAAUGCUGCUCUAAAUGGGAGGUAAAUUUCUUCUAAAGCUAAAUAUUGGCCAGAGACCGAUAGCGCACAAGUAGAGUGAUCGAAAGAUGAAAAGCACUUUGAAAAGAGGGUUAAACAGCACGUGAAAUUGUUGAAAGGGAAGCGUUUGCGACCAGACCUCUCCCCGGCGGAUCAUCCGGCGUUCUCGCCGGUGCACUCCGCCGGGCUGAGGCCAGCAUCGGUUUCCGCGGGGGGACAAAAGCGGGGGGAACGUAGCUCNCUC
rnacentral:rRNA from 1 species